rnacentral:rRNA from 1 species
AGAGUUUGAUCCUGGCUCAGGACGAACGCUUGCGGCGUGCCUAAAAAAUGCAAGUCGAACGGGGGGCUUCGGCCCCUAGUGGCGAACGGUCGCGUAACACGUAAGCAACCUGCCCCGAAGUGGGGGACAACAUCCCGAAAGGGGUGCUAAUACCGCAUGUGGCCGUCGAAUCGCAUGGUUUGGCGUCCAAAGGCUUAUGUCGCUUCGGGAUGGGCUUGCGGCCUAUCAGGUAGUUGGUGCGGUAACGGCGCACCAAGCCGACGACGGGUAGCUGGUCUGAGAGGACGAUCAGCCGGAUUGGGACUGAGAUACGGCCCAGACUCCUACGGGGGGCAGCAAUUAGGAAUCUUGCGCAAUGGGGGAAACCCUGACGCAGCGACGUCGCGUGGAGGAUGAAGGUCCUCGGAUCGUAAACUCCUUUUAAGAGGGAAGAAUUUUGACGGUACCUCUUGAAUAAGCCCCGGCUAACUACGUGCCAGCAGCCGCGGUAAUACGUAGGGGGCGAGCGUUGUCCGAAGUUACUGGGCGUAAAGCGCGCGUAGGCGGUCCUUCAAGUCCGGGGUGAAAGGUUCGGCGCUCAACGUGAACAUUGCCUUGGAUACUGUUGGACUUGAGUCCGGAAGGGGGAAGCGGAAUUCCUGGUGUAGCGGUGAAAUGCGUAGAUAUCAGGAGGAACACCGGUGGCGAAGGCGGCUUCCUGGUCUGAGACUGACGCUGAGGCGCGAAAGCGUGGGGAGCGAACGGGAUUAGAUACCCCGGUAGUCCACGCCGUAAACGAUGAGUGCCAGGUGUCGGGGGUAUCGACCCCCCCGGUGCCGUCGCCAACGCAUUAAGCACUCCGCCUGGGGAGUACGGCCGCAAGGUUGAAACUCAAAGGAAUUGACGG